AACGGCAAAAAUGUUGUUUAUGUUUUUCUCGCGUAGUGAGUUGUUUUCUUCGCGCUGUUCAAAAUCGUUUCGAAAAUUAAAGAAUACCAUUGGCACAAAUCGGACUCAAUAUCAAAUCAACUACGAGGAUUGCACCAGACUGACCGCGAAUCCCGAUGGUAGAACGACAAAAAAAUGCUUCCUCUUUCUAUCGUGACACUGGGAGCGUUUUUACGAACACCGGUUGUAUGGCAUGAAAUUCUUAUCAAUCCAGCGGGACAUCAAACAAGCCCGGAACACACAGAAGUUAUGUAGCUGCCCAAUCAAAAGGAAGAGUUACGACACGACGUUUGUUAUUCCCCUAGGAAGAUUCCGCCACGGGGCAAGCAAGAUUCCCAUAGUUAUCAUAAUUUGUGUUGCCUGCCUUAUUAUGAUUUUGAAGAAGAAUUAGGAAAUGCCUCGAGUUUUCAUUCAAUCUCAAGAAUCGAAAUCCUGCAUCGAAUUGAAUCGAAAUAUUCUCUUAUAAACAACCUGCGAAUUGAUCGGCCAGGGCUACAAAAAUUAUGUCGAUGGUUCUUUAACUGGCUUACGCAAUAAAUAUCACAUUUACUCUUAUUAUAUUGGGUAUCCAUAAUAAACUGAAUUGAACACUAAACACUGGAUGUAAUGUGGAAAUCCUUCUGAAGCUCUGGUAGCAUCUAAAGAGCCGGUUCAGCUGGGGGGUCAAAUUGGUCCAUUGAAGAGUUCGCCAUCGGGAUAAGUCAGUUCGGCUGGUGUUACCGAGAGAUCGAUGUCAUAUUGCCACUAGAAGAAACUGGUAACUUUCCGGCACACGAUUAUUCUACCAGAAUUAUUGCUCCGCCUUCGUUGCUGAAACAAAAAUGAAAGAACAAAUUAGUAUGUUAUUAAAAAAAGGAAAUCCAAGAAAUGAUAAAAGAAAUAAUUGAAAUAAUACAAUCUUUACUAACCUAUGGUUUGCACCUUCUAAGUCCCGCUCCGUUUGUAUUUUCCACCAAAUGCUGCUGUUCCGUGUCCAAAUGGAUUCACUUGUGGUUGAUCGUAUGUGGGGCUUGGGGACAGUCGAAACGGCUUUGAUCCUCCGGAACUAGGAUUCGUAGUAGUGGCCGGGAGUGGCGACCUAGAGGAAAUGAUUAACCGGAACCACGUACCGGCAGGGCAGGUACUGAUCGAUGGUUUUUUGUGCACCACAAGAAGCUCGAAAUCGCGAACAACUACACUCAGCCGAAAAGGAAACUUUAAAUUCACCUGGAUUUUCACGUAGGCACUCAUGGGUCGAUUCACGAUGACGUAUGUUCCCUUUUGUGGUGACAGUUCGCGCGUCCUGUUUACAAAAUUUUACGAACGAGAAAUGGGGUGCGGCGAAAUUUUUCGUGUAGCUGCACGGUCAACAAAUUUAACUUAAAACUCAGUUAAGGGAUAGCAAAAAACCAAGUUCUAUUUUGUUAAUUAAACUUAGCGCAUUUUUUGGUUUCUCAUGUUUAUCUUUUUGGAAAUGAACAGAAAGUUGAAAAUUCGUAAAAAUUUCGAAAAGAAGGUUUGUUUAUUAGAAUGUUUCAACAUGUUUUCAAAACCCUUCUUCAACACAUUUAUUCUGGACCAACCCAGUUUACAUUGAAUAUUCUAGGAAAGCGCGUCUACUUGAAACAUAAAACCCUAUCGAAUGUCCAAAUGUGGAAACAUCUAAGGAAUUCGAAUGUUUCGAAUCGAUUGUCCGGAAGCUUCAUGUGUUAUUUUUACUGGAAGCUGUGAACAAAUGCACAUACUUGUACGACAACAAAAUCCGUUGACAGAAGAAUCCAAUAUAGGAAAAUUCUCCACUAAA